GACGAACGCUGGCGGCGUGCCUAAUACAUGCAAGUAGAACGCUGAAGGGAGGAGCUUGCUCUUCUUGGAUGAGUUGCGAACGGGUGAGUAACGCGUAGGUAACCUGCCUUGUAGCGGGGGAUAACUAUUGGAAACGAUAGCUAAUACCGCAUAACAAUGGAUGACACAUGUCAUUUAUUUGAAAGGGGCAAUUGCUCCACUACAAGAUGGACCUGCGUUGGAUUAGCUAGUAGGUGAGGUAAUGGCCCACCUAGGCGACGAUACAUAGCCGACCUGAGAGGGUGAUCGGCCACACUGGGACUGAGACACGGCCCAGACUCCUACGGGAGGCAGCAGUAGGGAAUCUUCGGCAAUGGGGGCAACCCUGACCGAGCAACGCCGCGUGAGUGAAGAAGGUUUUCGGAUCGUAAAGCUCUGUUGUAAGUCAAGAAAGGGUGUGAGAGUGGAAAGUUCACACUGUGACGGUAGCUUAACAGAAAGGGACGGCUAACUACGUG
rnacentral:rRNA from 1 species